UACGUAGGGUGCAAGCGUUAUCCGGAUUUAUUGGGCGUAAAGAGUUCUGUAGGCGGUUUUGUAAGUCAAAGGUUAAAGAUCCCGGCUCAACCGGGGGAAAGCUUUUGAUACUGCAUUACUAGAGAUAGCUAGGGGGCAACGGAACGUAUGGUGUAGCAGUGAAAUGCGUUGAUAUCAUACGGAACACCAAGGGGGAAGCCAGUUGCCUGGGGCUUAUCUGACGCUGAGAGACGAAAGCGUGGGGAGAGAACGGG
rnacentral:rRNA from 1 species